rnacentral:rRNA from 1 species
UACGAAGGGGGCUAGCGUUGUUCGGAAUUACUGGGCGUAAAGCGCGCGCAGGCGGUUCUUUAAGUCAGGGGUGAAAGCCCAGAGCUCAACUCUGGAAUUGCCUUUGAAACUAGAGGACUUGAGUACGGGAGAGGUGAGUGGAAUUCCGAGUGUAGAGGUGAAAUUCGUAGAUAUUCGGAAGAACACCAGUGGCGAAGGCGGCUCACUGGCCCGUUACUGACGCUCAGGCGCGACAGCGUGGGGAGCAAACAGG